AGCCAUGCGACAAGCACAAAGCGAACUAUUCUUUCGCCUUUUACUAAAGAAUACUGUGUGCUUGCUGUUUUAUGUGGCAUACGCUUAUUUUUUGAAGGGCUGCUCCUGUUGGAGCUC